GCGCAAUGGGCGAAAGCCUGACGCAGCAACGCCGCGUGAGGGAUGAAGGCCUUCGGGUUAUAAACCUCUUUUGUCAGGGACGAUGAUGACGGUACCUGGCGAAUAAGCCACGGCUAACUACGUGCCAGCAGCCGCGGUAAUACGUAGGUGGCAAGCGUUGUCCGGAUUUACUGGGCGUAAAGAGCGCGCAGGCGGUCGUUCAAGUCGCGUGUGAAAGCCCCCGGCUCAACUGGGGAGGGUCACGCGAUACUGAUCGACUCGAAGGCAGGAGAGGGUAGUGGAAUUCCCGGUGUAGUGGUGAAAUGCGUAGAUAUCGGGAGGAACACCAGUGGCGAAGGCGACUACCUGGCCUGUUCUUGACGCUGAGGCGCGAAAGCUAGGGGAGCAAACGGGAUUAGAUACCCCGGUAGUCCUAGCCGUAAACGAUGGACACUAGGUGUUGGUGGUAUCAACCCCGCCAGUGCCGAAGCUAACGCAUUAAGUGUCCCGCCUGGGGAGUACGGCCGCAAGGCUA
rnacentral:rRNA from 1 species